UAGGGAAUCUUCGGCAAUGGACGGAAGUCUGACCGAGCAACGCCGCGUGAGUGAAGAAGGUUUUCGGAUCGUAAAGCUCUGUUGUAAGAGAAGAACGAGUGUGAGAGUGGAAAGUUCACACUGUGACGAUAUCUUACCAGAAAGGGACGGCUAACUACGUGCCAGCAGCCGCGGUAAUACGUAGGUCCCGAGCGUUGUCCGGAUUUAUUGGGCGUAAAGCGAGCGCAGGCGGUUAGAUAAGUCUGAAGUUAAAGGCUGUGGCUUAACCAUAGUACGCUUUGGAAACUGUUUAACUUGAGUGCAAGAGGGGAGAGUGGAAUUCCAUGUGUAGCGGUGAAAUGCGUAGAUAUAUGGAGGAACACCGGUGGCGAAAGCGGCUCUCUGGCUUGUAACUGACGCUGAGGCUCGAAAGCGUGGGGAGCAAACAGGAUUAGAUACCCUGGUAGUCCACGCCGUAAACGAUGAGUGCUAGGUGUUAGACCCUUUCCGGGGUUUAGUGCCGCAGCUAACGCAUUAAGCACUCCGCCUGGGGAGUACGACCGCAAGGUUG
rnacentral:rRNA from 1 species